GAAGCAACGCGAAGAACCNUACCAGGUCUUGACAUACUCGUGCUAUUCCUAGAGAUAGGAAGUUCCUUCGGGACACGGGAUACAGGUGGUGCAUGGUUGUCGUCAGCUCGUGUCGUGAGAUGUUGGGUUAAGUCCCGCAACGAGCGCAACCCUUAUUGUUAGUUGCCAUCAUUAAGUUGGGCACUCUAGCGAGACUGCCGGUAAUAAACCGGAGGAAGGUGGGGAUGACGUCAAAUCAUCAUGCCCCUUAUGACCUGGGCUACACACGUGCUACAAUGGUUGGUACAACGAGUCGCAAGACAGUGAUGUCAAGCUAAUCUCUUAAAGCCAAUCUCAGUUCGGAUUGUAGGCUGCAACUCGCCUACAUGAAGUCGGAAUCGCUAGUAAUCGCGGAUCAGCACGCCGCGGUGAAUACGUUCCCGGGCCUUGUACACACCGCCCGUCACACCACGAGAGUUUGUAAUACCCAAAGCCGGUGAGCUAACCUUUUAGGAGGCAGCCGUCUAAGGUAGGAUAGAUGAUUGGGGUGAAGUC
rnacentral:rRNA from 1 species